rnacentral:lncRNA from 1 species
ACUAGUAUAAAUACCCCCUUAUGUCUAUGAUAUAAGGUAGCUUUGGAUAAUCUAAAACAGAACCCCUUUGUUUAGCUGUGUGCUAACAAAUAUUGAGAGUGAUCUCUACCCCUUUGCUCUUGUGAAUUCCUUCGCGGGAUUACAGAAGCGGUGGCUUCAUCCGCUCCCAAUUGGUGCUCCUACUCCCUUCGAGGUCUCCUCGAUUGAUUGUAGAUUGUGUUGGUUGGUUCUUUGAGACAAACAACAGUUCAAAAACUGCUUGAUAUUGCACUAGGUUUGAAUCAAAAGUUUAAAACUAUAUGUGCAUACUAAAGGGCAGAUUAUUAAAACAUAUACAAAGUAAAAAUAAAUAUAGAUGGAAGUGCUUACAAAUUAAAAAAUGGCGAAAAACUAUAUAUAUACUUGUUACCCAAAAAUGUAAAACAACUACACAUUUUAAUCAAACCAAUGCUCUAGUUAACAAGUAGGAGAUUCUACAAGUCGUUCUAGGUUACAAAAUAAAGCAGGACACUUGACUUUUUACCUGGAACUUGCCAGUUUCUACCAUAAAUGAACUUAAGUUAUUAGGGAUAAUACGAAAUACAAGCUCUGUCUGCCUUAUCUCCCUUUUUUCCCUUAUGCUCCCUGGUUCAUGGCCUGUACCAAUUUUAAGCUAAAUUCUCUUCACUGUCUAUUUCCAAGUACUUGUCACAUGUCCACGCAGCCGCUCAUCAAACUUUCCACAGCACAGCACAAAACCCUCCCUAAACCUUGCCAGCUAAUAUCGCCAGACGGACUCCAAAAUGGCAUGGCCGCAACCAUGCUUGAGGCGCUGAAGACCCUAGGCAAGAUUUUAGAUGGAUUAUCGACUCCAUAACUAGGACACCACGCAGCUCAAGAGUCCACAGGUAACCGGGUUAGAAAAAAAAAAUCGAAUUUUAACGCUCGCAGACGGGACAGGAAGGUCGCCAAGGACAAGGCGAGCAGCGAAUUCCAACCUCCAACUGAGGCAAAGCUCGAGUCGCUUACCCACGAGAGCAGAGGUCGAUCCGAGUCAAUCCGGAUAGUCGGAGCUUCACUGACGACCCGCGCCGCACCGGUAGAGCAACAGGAAGCCGGUAACAGGCAGUGCAGAAGGAGCGGAGAGGCGAGGUCGACGGCGAUGAACCACCCGCAGCUCGCGGCGGCCACCGAGGUCGACGACAGGAAGCAAGGGGACGGAGGAGUUGGGGAGAUCUAGACGGCGGACGGGCGGCAUCCAAGACUGAGGUGGAAAAGUUGGCUGGACAGCACAGGGGUCUUCUCAGACUGCAAACUCUGCUUCUGCUCGACUCCCUCCGAGUCAGGCUGG